rnacentral:lncRNA from 1 species
CAUGCAAUCCUGUGCAUUUGGGAGCAGGGAUGUGGAGGAGCUGUGGAAAUUCAGGAGACUUUCAGGAAAGGAGAAGAGUUUUGUUUGAGUUUCAUUUUCUGUGUGUUGAACUGCCCCAUCCCUGCUCAACUUUUUUUUUUUUUUUUUUUUUUUUUAAUUUUAUCCUUGUCAACCUCUUCAAGAUGAUAGGAAAAGAGUAAAAGAAAAGUCCACAAAGUAUCUCCGUUCAGAAUUACCAGUAGAAAAAAGUGCUUAGAUUAGUGCUUAGCCUGUUAAAGCCUUCUGGUCCUUCAGAAUGCUAUUCUCUUACUCCAACGAGUAUAACUUUUUANUUUUUUUUUUUUUUUUUUUACUUUAAUUGAAGCCUAGUGUGAAAAAACUAGAUGCUUGGAAAAAUGUAAAAGAAAACUGUAUAAAGUAUCUCCUUUCAGAAUUAACAGUAGAAAAAAGUGCUUAGAUUAGUGCUUAGCCUGUUAAAGCCUUCUGGUCCUUCAGAAUGCUAUUCUCUUACUCCAACGAGUAUAACUUUUUAAGUAAAAUAACUUUGUCAGAAUUAUAUUAUCAGCCAAAUUUACUGUUGGGCCUGUGCAACGAGCUUCUAAAACUUACAGCAAAUUUCCCAUCUCAGAUCUGACAUGCUGCAGAGACAUUGUCCAGAUGAAGAAUGUACCAGGGAUCUCAGCUGAUUUAGGAAAAAAAAAGUACACUUUUCUCAGCAGGAGGAAGCUCCCCGGCUUUGGUGCGGCGGUUCAGGUUCGCACAGCGGGGAGCAGGAGCCGGAGCUACCCAGCAGCUUUGGACGCCUCCUGCCAGGAGCGAUCAUGCAGUUCUGCGGCAGCCGAGAUGCUGGUGCGCCUCUCUGGGAACGGCUGACUGCGUUUCAGCGAAACAGAGCUGGACUUAGUGGCUCCUCUGCUCUGCCAUUUGUCACGUUGAAGCAGAUUGCUACCAUGUCUGUGCUCAUCAGCAACCAGCAAUUAGCAGCAGGUGCUCACCCGUGUACACAUGAGUGUCAGGUGUUCCUGACUUCGCCUCUGGUGCAGCCCCUCUUACACUUCGGUGAUUGUCCCCAGAGAGGAGCUCCAGGAGAUGUUUCAGCUGGCGGGGAGUGCGACUGCUGUGCUGUGGCAGGGGGUGUGACUCUUCACCGUGGGUGAACUGUGCCAGGGAUGCUGCUCUGAACUGGGAUGAGAGCCCAGUGUGACAAGGGCAGUUGUUGGAGGCCACACAUACGAAAAUGUUGAUGUAACAUCAGCUGUUAAUGAUUUUGAAAGGGUGUUGAGCCAACAUGUAAGUUCAUUUCUUAUCUUCCCUUCAUUUAAACUCAUGUCUUUCUUCCACUUCCCCUUCCUCCAGAAGACUUGACACUUUCAAAGCACUUCACAAAUUAAACAAGUAAUCGUCAUGGGUGCCUAAGAGCUGCACUGGGAAACUGAACUGAGACUGAGCUUUUUGAUAAGGGCUAGAGACUCUGCUUCUUCCGUCAGUCUCGGUGAGUGUACAGGUAAAGCCAGUAGUGCCUGUAACUGGGAUGAUGGCUCUGAAGAAGGCCUAACCUCACGGCCUCUAUCCGCUCUCCCACCUCGCAGUGCGUUUCUGCAGAGCAGCCACCCGCACAGUGGCAGGUUCUGCUGUCCGUGAUGAAGAGGGGCUGGUUGUCUCCUGGAGGGCACCUCUGUGAGCGUGGGACACUGGUACGAUUCUUCAGGCUUGAUGCUUUGCUCUUGCACAGCUCCAUGCCAGGUGUCUGUGCUAUUUAGGAGGAUAGGGGGCCAAAUUCGUGGCUUCUCUUUUUAAAAAGAAAACCAAAAAAAAUCCAUCAUCAUCCAGUGGAAAUGAAGCUGUAACAAAGGGGCAGACAAACAGGACCCUAAUGGGAAAGGGGGGGGGGGGGAGGGAAAGAGCACUCAGGAGAGAUUCCUGUCUUUGCGGAAGACACUGGAAAUGAAAGCCUGCUGUGUGCCUUCCCCCUGCGCCUUGUCCUCCCACUGCCUGUCACUGGCCCCAGGGAGGCUCGCCACCUCCUCCGAAACAGGAGUCAUGCCUGUCCCUUCUGCCUGUGCCUGUCACUUCUGUGCAGCUUUCAAGUAUUCCAGGGAGGCACAACAUCCAAACGGAGCCAGCCCUGUGCUGUGGAGGGGAAUGCAUCCUAUUCAG